CAGCAGCCGCGGUAAUACGAAGGGGGCUAGCGUUGUUCGGAAUUACUGGGCGUAAAGCGUACGUAGGCGGAUACUUAAGUUAGGGGUGAAAUCCCAGGGCUCAACCCUGGAACUGCCUUUAAUACUGGGUAUCUUGAGUUCGAGAGAGGUGAGUGGAAUUCCGAGUGUAGAGGUGAAAUUCGUAGAUAUUCGGAGGAACACCAGUGGCGAAGGCGGCUCACUGGCUCGAUACUGACGCUGAGGUGCGAAAGCGUGGGGAGCAAACAGGAUUAGAUACCCGAGUAGUCCCUGUCUCUUAUAC
rnacentral:rRNA from 1 species